rnacentral:tRNA from 1 species
AAGGGAGACCUAAUUCAGGUAGGAGACGAAAAAAAAGUAGUCCCAACCAAGAAUCAAUCCCAAAAGGUCGGAGCGAGGCGAAAUUGGCUUUCAAACUAGGUUCUGGGUUCACACAAGACCUGAAUCAGGAACAAGGGCUAUUAGCUCAGGUGGUUAGAGCGCACCCCUGAUAAGGGUGAGGUCCCUGGUUCGAGUCCAGGAUGGCCCACCUGCACAGGUGGCAAAAACAAGAGAAGCGAGGAAUCAGCACCCUAUCUUAUCUAUAUAUAUAUAGGAGAGAAUGCUGGCUCUGAGUAAAGAGUCCAGAGGAACCUUGAAAACUGCAUAGAGCUAGGUGAAAAAGCCAAAAAAGAAGACCGCAA